rnacentral:rRNA from 1 species
UGGGGAAUUUUGGACAAUGGGCGAAAGCCUGAUCCAGCAAUGCCGCGUGUGUGAAGAAGGCCUUCGGGUUGUAAAGCACUUUUGUCCGGAAAGAAAUCCUUGGCUCUAAUACAGUCGGGGGAUGACGGUACCGGAAGAAUAAGCACCGGCUAACUACGUGCCAGCAGCCGCGGUAAUACGUAGGGUGCAAGCGUUAAUCGGAAUUACUGGGCGUAAAGCGUGCGCAGGCGGUUUGCUAAGACCGAUGUGAAAUCCCCGGGCUCAACCUGGGAACUGCAUUGGUGACUGGCAGGCUAGAGUAUGGCAGAGGGGGGUAGAAUUCCACGUGUAGCAGUGAAAUGCGUAGAGAUGUGGAGGAAUACCGAUGGCGAAGGCAGCCCCCUGGGCCAAUACUGACGCUCAUGCACGAAAGCGUGGGGAGCAAACAGGAUUAGAUACCCUGGUAGUCCACGCCCUAAACGAUGUCAACUAGUUGUUGGGGAUUCAUUUCCUUAGUAACGUAGCUAACGCGUGAAGUUGACCGCCUGGGGAGUACGGUCGCAAGAUUAAAACUUAAAGGAAUUGACGGGGUCAUAGCUGUUU